CCGCCGGCGACCGGCGCACGGGUGAGUAACACGUAUGCAACCUGGCCGUGACAGAUGGAUAACCGGGAGAAAUCCCGCCUAAUACAACAUAAUGGCCGGGAGGGGACAUCCCCUGCCGGUCAAAGGGGGCGACCCCGGUCACGGAUGGGCAUGCGGCGCAUUAGGUAGUUGGUGGGGCAACGGCCCACCAAGCCGACGAUGCGUAGGGGUUCUGAGAGGAAGGUCCCCCACAUUGGAACUGAGACACGGUCCAAACUCCUACGGGAGGCAGCAG
rnacentral:rRNA from 1 species